rnacentral:tRNA from 1 species
UGGGGCGUAGCUCAGCUGGUUAGAGCGCUUGACUGUGGAUCAAGAGGUCCCGGGUUCGAAUCCCGGCGUCCCUA